rnacentral:rRNA from 1 species
ACGACGCUGGCGGCGUGCCUAAUACAUGCAAGUCGAACGCUUUCUUUCACCGGAGCUUGCUCCACCGAAAGAAAAGGAGUGGCGAACGGGUGAGUAACACGUGGGUAACCUGCCCAUCAGAAGGGGAUAACACUUGGAAACAGGUGCUAAUACCGUAUAACAAUCGAAACCGCAUGGUUUCGGUUUGAAAGGCGCUUUUGCGUCACUGAUGGAUGGACCCGCGGUGCAUUAGCUAGUUGGUGAGGUAACGGCUCACCAAGGCAACGAUGCAUAGCCGACCUGAGAGGGUGAUCGGCCACAUUGGGACUGAGACACGGCCCAAACUCCUACGGGAGGCAGCAGUAGGGAAUCUUCGGCAAUGGACGGAAGUCUGACCGAGCAACGCCGCGUGAGUGAAGAAGGUUUUCGGAUCGUAAAACUCUGUUGUUAGAGAAGAACAAGGAUGAGAGUAGAAUGUUCAUCCCUUGACGGUAUCUAACCAGAAAGCCACGGCUAACUACGUGCC